rnacentral:lncRNA from 1 species
UAUCUCUUCGCUAAAUGAACCGUUAGCCUCAUGGAAUAACUUAAACUCGGAAGAGUAGCAAAUAGUAAAUGAUUACAUUGCCAUGAGCUACCUGUGCUAUAUCAAUAAUCACAAUUCCGAAAGGAUGAGAAAACCUCCAACUAUUUCCUUAAUUUUUGCCCGAUAUAUGCAUGAUCUAUCGACAAUCUAACAAGGACACAAAUUAAUGAUUCCUUAGUUUGAAAAUCAGGGGAAAAUGAUAAUAAUUCUAAAAGAUGUGAAUUAAAGAAAAUAUGCAAAUGAUGUAUCUACCGUACAAGGAUGUUAUCACCAACGUCAUACGAUAAAGUUAGCAAAGAAGACCAUUCCCUAAUUCAAGAGAUCCAGAGCUUUGGUUUGUUGGGUCUAAAAUGCCAAUUGCCACAAGAUGUGAAGGGUAUCUUGGAACAUCCAUUUUAACAGUCAAGACAUGGUAUUAACCAAUGCAACCAAGGCCUUGGAACUACCUUGGGACUGCAUUUCCUGUAGGAACUUACUUACAUACAAAAUAACAAUUUCGUAACAUGGCAGAAAUAAUAUUUUCAUACGUUGAGCUAUAUGCACAGAGAUGGUCUCUACGUUCUUAAAAUGCUCCAAACAAAAAUAUGGUUCAAGGAUAACAGAUUGAGGAUUUGCUUUUUGGUCCCAACAACGCUCUCUUCAUUAGGUCAACAAAAAGGCAUUUACAAACCAAGAACAUGAAGCAUAAUUGCAUUUUGCGCAUGCAUCCGGUUCUCAGCUUGGGGGAAUACAAUGGAGUUUGGUGCUUCAAUCACGCCAUCAGUAACUUCAACUCCUCUUUCCGCUGGCAAACAGUGCAUGAAAUAUGCUUUUUGUCCGGCUAGUUUCAUCAGUUCUUCAUCCACCUGUAGAGAAAUAAUAAUACAUAAUGCCAAGCAGACUUCAACUCCUCUUUCCGCUGGCAAGCAGUGCAUGAAAUACGCUUUUUGUCCAGCUAGUUUCAUCAGUUCUUCAUCCACCUGUAGAGAAAUAAUAAUACAUAAUGUCAAGCAUGUGCUGCAGUGUUGGUGUGACAUCGAUAAAUGCUUCUGAGUACAGGGGGCAUACAAUUUAUUUUGACAAGUUAGGCAGAGUUCAAAUUUGUUUCGAUAAUAUAAAACAACGGAUUGAGAUUAUUGCUUGCUUUUGAUUCUUCUCAAGUUGUAUAUCAGAACUAGAAAGGGUAUCGCACUAACCCAAAAACAGGAAAUAUAGCCAUCUUAA